rnacentral:rRNA from 1 species
CGGCGGACGGGUGAGUAACACGUGGAUAACCUACCUAUAAGACUGGGAUAACUUCGGGAAACCGGAGCUAAUACCGGAUAAUAUAUUGAACCGCAUGGUUCAAUAGUGAAAGACGGUUUUGAUGUCACUUAUAGAUGGAUCCGCGCCGCAUUAGCUAGUUGGUAAGGUAACGGCUUACCAAGGCAACGAUGCGUAGCCGACCUGAGAGGGUGAUCGGCCACACUGGAACUGAGACACGGUCCAGACUCCUACGGGAGGCAGCAGCC